rnacentral:rRNA from 1 species
UACGGAGGGUGCAAGCGUUAUCCGGAAUCACUGGGUUUAAAGGGUGCGUAGGCGGUGGCGUAAGUCAGUUGUGAAAUUCCCCGGCUUAACCGGCGGGACUGCGAUUGAUACUGCGUUACUUGAAUCAGGUUGAGGUGGGCGGAAUGUGACAUGUAGCGGUGAAAUGCUUAGAUAUGUCAUAGAACACCGAUUGCGAAGGCAGCUUGCUGGACCUGUAUUGACGCUGAGGCACGAAAGCGUGGGGAGCAAACAGG